rnacentral:antisense_RNA from 13 species
GGUAACCGAAGAGAACACUGGGGCUAAGGGUGGGGUUGGUGAUAACCCGAACGCCGCCGCCACCAGGAACCCAAGGAUCAUAGAGUCCACCAAAGAACAUGGCUUUGAAGACAAACAGGCUUGCGCCAAUGCCCAAAACGAUGAGGUGGAAACCCAGAAUAUUGGUCAUCUGGUUCUUAUCUUUCCA